GGGCACGUAGUAUAGGGGUUAUUGCGUCCGCUUCGCAUGGCGCUUGCGGAAGGUCUGGAGUUCGAUUCUCCACUUGAUUC